UUAAUAAACGUUUGGUGCCAGCCACAAUUGGAAACAACAAAGAUAGGAGUUCAAUUCCGGCAAAGUACCAGAAUUUCAGCAGAUACUGCAAAAAAAUUUGGCCCAGUUCUAUUUUCUGACCUAUCAGAACAUAGGCCUUGAUAUUAUACCAUACAAUGUCCUUUUGUUUCUUCACAAGUCUAUCUUUUAAAUAUCAAAGUUGAAAUAACUUUCCCAACCUAAGGCAUAGUGGUAGAUAUGUCUAUACCUCUCUCAUAUGUCACGAAAUAUCCAGGAUAAGAGGGGGGGAGGGGAGAAAAUAAGUGUGCAUACUCUGGAACCUAAUAAUCAGCCAAGUAUUUCAUGAUAAUAAGAUCAAGAUUCACUGUCAGAUGAGCCUCAUUUAAUAGAUUAAUUAUGAAUAAAUCAACUUGAAAAGAUGAACCUAACCAUUUAUCCCUGAGGUCACUUGAACAGCCAAAAGUUAGUUUCAGUGAAGUUUCUACAAGUGCUGAAAUAAAAAAAUAAAAAAAGGAUGGAUAGAACAUCUAUCCAAAAA